GCCGGCGUAGCUCAGGCGGUAGAGCAGCUGAUUUGUAAUCAGCAGGUCACGGGUUCGAAUCCUGUCGCCGGCACCA
rnacentral:tRNA from 1 species